CGCCUACGGGGGGCAGCAGUGGGGAAUAUUGGGCAAUGGGCGCAAGCCUGACCCAGCAAUGCCGCGUGAAGGAAGAAGGCCCUCGGGUUGUAGACUUCUUUUAUCAGGGACGAAGGAUGUGACGGUACCUGAUGAAUAAGCUCCGGCUAACUACGUGCCAGCAGCCGCGGUAAUACGUAGGGAGCAAGCGUUAUCCGGAUUUACUGGGUGUAAAGGGCGCGUAGGCGGGAUGGCAAGUCAGAUGUGAAAUCCUAUGGCUUAACCAUAGAACUGCAUUUGAAACUGUUAUUCUAGAGUAUGGGAGG
rnacentral:rRNA from 1 species